GUCUUUGAUUUGGCAGCACAUACGCUAAAAUUGGAAUGAUACAGAGAAGGUUAGCAUGGCCCCUGAGCAAAGAUGACAUGAAAAUUCUAGGGUAAUCACUGAAGAAU
rnacentral:snRNA from 1 species